AUACGAAGGUCCCAAGCGUUAUUCGGAAUCACUGGGCGUAAAGAGUACGUAGGCGGUUUGGUAAGUCAGGUGUGAAAUCCCGAAGCUCAACUUCGGAACUGCAUCCGAUACUGCCAGACUAGAGUAAUGGAGAGGCAGGUGGAAUUCUCGGUGUAGCAGUGAAAUGCGUGGAUAUCGAGAGGAAGACCAAUGGCGAAGGCAGCCUGCUGGACAUUUACUGACGCUGAGGUGCGAAGGCUAGGGGAGCGAAAGGGAUUAGAAACCCCGGUAGUCC
rnacentral:rRNA from 1 species